CCUACGGGAGGCAGCAGUGGGGAAUUUUCCGCAAUGGGCGAAAGCCUGACGGAGCAACGCCGCGUGAGGGAUGAAGGCCUCUGGGCUGUAAACCUCUUUUAUCAAGGAAGAAGAUCUGACGGUACUUGAUGAAUAAGCCACGGCUAAUUCCGUGCCAGCAGCCGCGGUAAUACGGGAGUGGCAAGCGUUAUCCGGAAUUAUUGGGCGUAAAGCGUCCGCAGGCGGUCUUGUAAGUCUGUCGUUAAAGCGUGGAGCUCAACUCCAUUUCGGCGGUGGAAACUACAAGACUAGAGUGUGGUAGGGGCAGAGGGAAUUCCCGGUGUAGCGGUGAAAUGCGUAGAUAUCGGGAAGAACACCAGUGGCGAAGGCGCUCUGCUGGGCCAUAACUGACGCUCAUGGACGAAAGCUAGGGGAGCGAAAGGGAUUAGAUACCCCUGUAGUCCUAGCCGUAAACGAUGAACACUAGGUGUCGGGGGAAUCGACCCCCUCGGUGUCGUAGCUAACGCGUUAAGUGUUCCGCCUGGGGAGUACGCACGCAAGUGUGAAACUCAAAGGAAUUGACGG
rnacentral:rRNA from 1 species